GAUCACAGUGAAGAGCUGUAUUUUCAAAACCCAGCCACCUUACUGUAUUUUCAUGCUGUAGUUUUUACAGCCAUUUGUUACAGUGCAUCUGCUUUUAAGCGAUUCAUAAGCCUCAACCCAGAAAGCAAAAUAAAAGCUGCAAACGGUAAAGUAACAUCAAAACCAACAGGACGACUUAUGCUAAACACUAGGACAAAAGUGAACCUGUGUGUCUCCAUUCUCCUCCUUCAUGAACCAGUGGAACUUCUAAAAUGCAACCCUUUGAUGAUUUCUGGAGAAGUUCAGGACUGAGACCAACUCAGAACUCAUCCAUGUUGGUUUUGUUUGGCUGUUCACUAAGUCUUAAACUUGCCCAAAUGUUUAAGAUGUACUGUUGGGGUUCCAAUAAAGUUUUGAAAAAUAUGCAACUUCAAAA